rnacentral:rRNA from 2 species
AACGCUGGCGGCGUGCCUAAUACAUGCAAGUCGAACGAACUCUGGUAUUGAUUGGUGCUUGCAUCAUGAUUUACAUUUGAGUGAGUGGCGAACUGGUGAGUAACACGUGGGAAACCUGCCCAGAAGCGGGGGAUAACACCUGGAAACAGAUGCUAAUACCGCAUAACAACUUGGACCGCAUGGUCCGAGCUUGAAAGAUGGCUUCGGCUAUCACUUUUGGAUGGUCCCGCGGCGUAUUAGCUAGAUGGUGGGGUAACGGCUCACCAUGGCAAUGAUACGUAGCCGACCUGAGAGGGUAAUCGGCCACAUUGGGACUGAGACACGGCCCAAACUCCUACGGGAGGCAGCAGUAGGGAAUCUUCCACAAUGGACGAAAGUCUGAUGGAGCAACGCCGCGUGAGUGAAGAAGGGUUUCGGCUCGUAAAACUCUGUUGUUAAAGAAGAACAUAUCUGAGAGUAACUGUCCAGGUAUUGCCGGUAUUUAACCAGAAAGCCACGGCUAACUA